AGGGAGACUCAUAUAUAAAAAAGGGCAAGAAGGAAAUGGGCCCCUUCUCUCUUCCUCCAGAGUCACCAUGUGAUCUCGGGAUGAGGACGACAAUGGAAGAGGUAAUCUUUCAUGCGGAAGAUGAAGUUCAGGACAGUCAGAGUGAGCAAUGUUGAAGAAGUUAGUCAUGACUUCCAAGAUCAAUAGGUCACUCACACCAACUUCUUUGAUGGAGCUACUGGAGACUGGGAAGCAUCUCAGCCAACAAAAGCAGAGAUCAGGAAACACUUGGCAAUUUACAACUGCAGUGCCUCCUACGAGAUCCACAAGCUAGCAAAUGGCCCAACAACACCGGUUUUUUCCUGUCCCACCAUCCUCCUCUCAAAUCACUACACGGAGACUUACAAUUAAUUAUGAAUGCUUGGCCGAUAGCUUAGGCUUGUUUUUAACUAGCUCUUAAAUAAACUCAUAUCUUUUAAUCUACG
rnacentral:lncRNA from 1 species